AUUGAACGCUGGCGGCAGGCUUAACACCUGCAAGUCGAGCGGGGAAGGGUAGCUUGCUACCUAACCUAGCGGCGGACGGGUGAGUAAUGCUUAGGAAUCUGCCAUUUAGUGGGGGACAACAUUCCGAAAGGAAUGCUAAUACCGCAUACGUCCUACGGGAGAAAGCAGGGGAUCUUCGGACCUUGCGCUAAAUGAUGAGCCUAAGUCGGAUUAGCUAGUUGGUGGGGUAAGGGCCUACCAAGGCGACGAUCUGUGGCGGGUCUGAGAGGAUGAUCCGCCACACUGGGACUGAGACACGGCCCAGACUCCUACGGGAGGUAGCAGUGGGGAAUAUUGGACAAUGGGCGGAAGCCUGAUCCAGCCAUGCCGCGUGUGUGAAGAAGGCCUUAUGGUUGUAAAGCACUUUAAGCGAGGAGGAGGCUACUUAGAUUAAUACUCUAGGAUAGUGGACGUUACUCGCAGAAUAAGCACCGGCUAACUCUGUGCCAGCCGCCGCGGUAA
rnacentral:rRNA from 1 species